AUCUAACUAGAGACAGGAUUCCUUUUUGAUCUUCUUUCUAGGAUUUGUCCAUUAGUUACAAUAAGGUACCUUCCAAAGUCCACCAGAGCAAGGACAAUUCUCGCAUGUCUCUGGCACAGAAGUCAUACCGAGCAACGGCGAUGCCCAGCACUUUCGGACUUAGCACUGGAAAGAAAUGAUGCUACCAUCUGGGUCCGUGAGAAGAAAGGCCUCGCUUUAAGGACAGUAGC